rnacentral:rRNA from 1 species
UUAGUCGGUCUCGGAGCAAACGAAGUGAAGCAUGUUAUUUAAUACGAAAGUACGCGUAAAAUCUUACCAGUUCUUGCAUAUCCAAUCCCUCUUUUUAGGGUGUAAUAGUAAUUACUUACUGUUUUUUAUUAUUGCUAAGUAAUAACCCAGGGGCAAAUAUUAUUAAAGAUUAAAAAAACUGGAUUGAGUAGUUUCUAUUUAAAAUUUUAAUUUUAUUAGAAAUUCGUUUACAGGUGUUGCAUGGCUGUCGUCA